GAAUUUGUAUAUUUGAAUAUUUUUCUAUAUACAGUUUGUUUAAUAAUUCUUAUAGUCACAUUUUCUGCAAUUUAAGUAACAGUUUUAACACAUUUAGUACAUAUGAAAAGUAUAUGUUUAUAAAAUGUGUUACUAAUUUCAAAAAUAUAAAAAAAGAAGAAAUAAAAUUUAUUUUUUUAAACAUUUUAAAAAAUUUAAAAUUAUUUCAUGAAGACAGUUCUUUAUGGAUAUAUGCGAUUUCGAUUUUAAAAAUUUUAUUAAAACGGAUAUAUAGUACUAAAAUUAAAAAUGUUAAAGGAAUUUCGUUCAAUGGUAAAAAAAAAGGACCACAAGAAAUAAAUGAAGAGAGGAAACAAACUAAAGGUCAAGCAGAACAAAACUUGAACGAGUUAUGCUCUUAUAUAAAAUUUGCAUUUAUUACGAUAAUUCAAGAAACUUUUAUAACAGUAUAUAAAGAAAAUUACUACAGUUACUAUUUUAUAUAUAAUAAAUUUGAAAACGAUGGCAGUGAUGAAAGUGUAAUAAAUGAAACAAGUACAAACAUAGAUUAUGCUUAUAAGGCGAUUGAGAAAAAUGAUGUAAUUAAUGAUAAUAAUAACUAUUUUGAAAAAAAAAAAAAAAAAAAAAAAGCCCUUUAUUUUGAUACCUCUUUUAACAACGAAAAGAACGAAACAUGCAAUGUUAAUCUUUACAAAAAACGUUAUUUAGAUAUUCCUGUCUGUAUUUUGAUGUGUGUUUCUGAUUUUUUAGCUACUUUAUACAAAAUAAUAAUUAAAGAGAAGUUAACAAAUGAAAUAAAUAUUGAUGAGCUUAUGAAAGACUUGCCUAUUUUGAUUCAAGGUUAUGUGCUAUUAAAAAUAAAAGCAUCUUUUAAAAAAUUAAAUUUAAUUAAAAAUAAAAUAUUGUUUAAUUCGUUUAAGUACAAUUUUACAUUUAAUGAAAAUUUAAAAGAUUUUUAUUAUGCUAAAGAAAUAUAUAAAAAUAAUGAAAAAGUUUUGACGUUGCAUUUUAAUUAUACUAAAUUAAAUCAAUAUUUUGAAAACAUCUUCUUAAUAAAAGAAUGUGUUCAUUUGGCUUAUAUAUAUAGCUAUUUUAAUGAAAGACAAACUGUAUUAGAAAAUCUGUUAUCUAUGUGUAAUGUAUCCCAAGUGAAUAAUGAAUAUUUAUACAUAGUCAUAAGUUCGUUUGUAUUUUUUUCGAUGAAAAGUAGCAACAGUUCCUUUUUUCUAAACAACUUUAUGUUUAAUUAUUUUAUUACGAAUGAGUUAAUUGAUAGUAUAGGUAAGUUUGCGCGUAGUGAAAAUUUGGGUAUGUUAUAUGAUGUUGAUAAGGGAAAAGGGGGGAUAAAACGUGACAGCAGUGGUAGUAAUAGUAGUAGUAGUAGUAGUAGUAGUAGUAGUGGC
rnacentral:lncRNA from 1 species